CGCCGGACCUGACUGCUAUCGGAUUGAUACUAACCCAUGCGAGUCAUUGUAGCAAUACAAGGCAUACGGUUCAGUAACGCGUAGUCAACCUAACCUAUGGACGGGAAUAACCUCGGGAAACUGAGAAUAAUGCCCGAUAGAACAUUAUGCCUGGAAUGGUUUAUGUUCCAAAUGAUUUAUCGCCGUAGGAUGGGACUGCGGCCUAUCAGUUUGUUGGUGAGGUAAUGGCCCACCAAGACUAUUACAGGUACGGGCUCUGAGAGGAGUAGCCCGGAGAUGGGUACUGAGACACGGACCCAGGCCCUAUGGGGCGCAGCAGGCGAGAAAACUUUGCAAUGUGCGAAAGCACGACAAGGUUAAUCCGAGUGGUUUCUGCUAAAGAAACCUUUUGUCAGUCCUAGAAACACUGAUGAAUAAGGGGUGGGCAAGUUCUGGUGUCAGCA
rnacentral:rRNA from 1 species